GACGGAGGGUGCAAGCGUUGUUCGGAUUGACUGGGCGUAAAGAGCGCGCAGGCGGUCUGCCAAGUCAGAUGUGAAAGAGGCCGGCUUAACCGGCAAGGGUCAUUUGAAACUGACAGACUAGAGUGCAGCAGAGGAUAGCGGAAUUCCCGGUGUAGUGGUGAAAUGCGUAGAUAUCGGGAGGAACACCAGUGGCGAAGGCGGCUAUCUGGGCUGCAACUGACGCUGAGGCGCGACAGCGUGGGGAGCAAACAGG
rnacentral:rRNA from 1 species